rnacentral:rRNA from 1 species
GAUGAACGCUGGCGGCGUGCCUAAUACAUGCAAGUCGAGCGAAUGGAUUGAGAGCUUGCUCUUAUGAAGUUAGCGGCGGACGGGUGAGUAACACGUGGGUAACCUGCCCAUAAGACUGGGAUAACUCCGGGAAACCGGGGCUAAUACCGGAUAACAUUUUGAACCGCAUGGUUCGAAAUUGAAAGGCGGCUUCGGCUGUCACUUAUGGAUGGACCCGCGUCGCAUUAGCUAGUUGGGGAGGUAACGGCUCACCAAGGCAACGAUGCGUAGCCGACCUGAGAGGGUGAUCGGCCACACUGGGACUGAGACGCGGCCCAGACUCCUACGGGAGGCAGCAGUAGGGAAUCUUCCGCAAUGGACGAAAGUCUGACGGAGCAACACCGCGUGAGUGAUGAAGGCUUUCGGGUCGUAAAACUCUGUUGUUAGGGAAGAACAAGUGCUAGUUGAAUAAGCUGGCACCUUGACAGUACCUAUCCAGAAAGCCACGGCUAACUACGUGCCAGCCGCCGCGGUAA